CAAAAAGUAGCUUACCUUAAAGCAUUCGGUCUACACCCGAACGACAUUUCCACAAUCUUUUUGA
rnacentral:tRNA from 1 species